rnacentral:rRNA from 1 species
CCUACGGGUGGCAGCAGUGGGGAAUAUUGGUCAAUGGGCGAAAGCCUGAACCAGCAAUGCCGCGUGAGUGAUGAAGGCCUUCGGGUUGUAAAGCUCUGUCAGUGGGAACGAAGAAGCCGGUUAAUACCCGGCGGUGACGGUACCCACAAAGGAAGCACCGGCUAACUCUGUGCCAGCAGCCGCGGUAAUACAGAGGGUGCAAGCGUUGUUCGGAAUUACUGGGCGUAAAGCGCGUGUAGGCGGUUUGGUAAGUCGGUUGUGAAAGCCCUUGGCUCAACCAAGGAAUUGCGUCCGAAACUAUCAGACUCGAGUAUCGGAGGGGAUGGCGGAAUUCCCGGUGUAGAGGUGAAAUUCGUAGAUAUCGGGAGGAACACCUGUGGCGAAGGCGGCCAUCUGGAAGAUUACUGACGCUGAGACGCGAAAGCGUGGGGAGCAAACAG